GUGCGCGAGGUUUUAACUGUAGCGAGGUGCGCGCGAGACCUCAUUGUUGUGUUCGCGAGCGCAGGAGGUGGUGGUCUCACAGCAACCGCUGUUUGUUUAAUCGAUUAACUUUCGGCCAUAACCCGAAUCUUAAUAGUUUGGUGUAAAAUACAAUGAGUUACGGUAGACCUCCGCCUGACGUAGAAGGCAUGACUUCGUUAAAGGUAGAUAAUUUAACGUAUCGCACAUCGCCGGAGACACUGAGGCGCGUCUUUGAAAAGUACGGCCGAGUCGGGGACGUUUAUAUCCCUCGGGACCGAUACACGAAAGAAAGCAGAGGUUUCGCCUUCGUGCGCUUUCACGACAAGAGGGAUGCAGAAGAUGCGAUGGACGCCAUGGAUGGAGCGAUUUUGGAUGGACGAGAGCUCCGGGUUCAGAUGGCCCGCUACGGUAGGCCGCCCGACUCGUACUAUGGUGGACGUCGCGGCGGGGGACCCGCGAGGAGACACGGCGGACAUGGCCGCCGCAGCAGCCGAAGCCCAAGACGUCGCCGACGCAGCCGUUCCAGAAGCAGGAGCCGUUCUCGUUCCCGCAGCCGCUCCCGUUACAGCAGAUCACGGUCACGCUCCUAUUCCCGCUCCCGAUCUCAUUCCAAGUCGCACAGCCCCCGUAAGAGGAAGUCCAAGUCUCCCUCCAAGUCUAGGUCCCGUUCAAGAUCCAAAUCCAGGUCUCGUUCCAGAAGCCGCACCCCUGCGUCGAACAGAGAGUCCAAGUCCAGGUCAAGAUCUAAAAGCCAACCAAAAUCUGCUGGCGAGGAAGCGCCCACAUCAUCCUAAAUGCUCACAGUGCAUACAGACAGGGCCUUCCACACAAUGGAUGCAUCACAUCUGUGUGGCUCUCUAUGGAAACUGCUGAAUCCAGUAUGGAAAUGUAAAAGCAGGGGUGUGAGGUGAAGUUUUGGCUGUUAGAGGUGUGUGUGAUCCAGCCACCUGCUCCUGUUGGGGUUGCAUUGGAGCAGAUGGGUGUUUUGGUGGUGCUGAGGUACGUCUAUGAGACAAUGGACAGACAGCAUCCUACCCUAAAAGUGCAAGCAUAAACCAAUUGCCUUCUUUGACCUGGAAAUGUGAAAAACAAAAUAAUGCAUAGGUGAAGGUAACACAUCCAUAAAAUAAACUGUUAGAUUGUCAAGGGUGGGCAAUAUGACCAAAAUCCAUGUAUAACUGAAUGCAAUAAUUUAAUGGAUUAUAUACUUCAAUACAAUUAAAUGUUACAAAGAAAGUUACUGUAUCUCAGUUCAUUAAUAGAUUAAAAACUAAAACCACAUAAGCAGUAUUUUACUCCAUAAAUACCACACAUCUGUUCUGUGCACUAUAUAGCUUUGCACAAAUAUUUGAACACUAUAAGUGGCAUAGUUAAGUUUUACUAAGUGACAUUAGUACCGUCACAUGGCAUAUACCGUCAUAGCGCCCAGCCCCAGAUAUUUUAAUGAAAUCUCAGGAAAUAGGCCUAUCAGUUGCCUUAUUAAUGGGAUGCCAUUGGAAGAACAUUGGGCCUUAUUCAUGAAACAUACACAGAGCGAAUUUGUAAACCCCUAUCUGUUCAUAAUUUGUGUUAAAUUGGUCCAAUAACUACCAUUACAUCUACAAAUUUGUUCUGUUUGUCUUUAGAGAAUAAGGCCUACUAUGUGCACCUUGAUCCCCAUGUCAUCUUGAUCCCCAGAGAUUGUGUGGUCUCUGUAAAUCCAUUGUUUCCACUUUCUCUUAGCACGUUUUGCCUAUUUGACCACUGUUUUGUGUUCUCUCAGGUCGAUUUCAUCAUGGGACGUUUCUAAAUACAUGACCUCUGUUGGAGCCUGAGGAACCUCGGAUUGAGAAUCUCCAAAAUCUACGCAAAGCCUACUUGGGCCUAAAGGUCAUUAUGACUGAUUGGCAUAUAAACGAACUGUUUGAUUGUUUCACAGCCCUUUUGUUCUUUAAAUAAAUACAUUGUCCUUAUUUUCAGUGAGGAUGUUUUAAAUGUCUAUGUCCUUUUUUUUAAUUCGUUGAGUAGGACGAACGUCACAAUUCUAUUGGCCUUUAAGGUAAACCCAGUGUCUCGGUGAUGGUUCAGAAGGUGUUAGAUGCACCUCACUUGUGUAAUAUAUUUGCAAGACGCUGUUUAGUCUAUUCAGCUUGGCUUUUUUUGUUGUUUUGCUUUAAUCUCCAAAUGUUUAAGAAUGAUCCCUAUGCUUUAUCUUGAAGUGGCUCAAAAAUAUGAAGUUUUUCCUUUCUAAUCAACAUAUAUGAUGUUGAUGUGUGAUUGUAACACUUGUUGUAUUUUACUUUAUUUUAGUUUUUUGACAUUUGGAUUCUAA